rnacentral:rRNA from 1 species
AUUGAACGCUGGCGGCAGGCCUAACACAUGCAAGUCGAGCGAGAGGCGGACGGGUGAGUAAUGUGUGGGGAACUGCCCGAUGGAGGGGGGUAACUCCUGGAAACGGUGGCUAAUAUAGCAUACCAUCUGAUGUGCCCCGAUGGGAUUAGCGAGUCGGUGGGGUAACGGCUCACCUCGGCGACGAUCCCUAGCUGGUCUGUGAGGAUGAGCAGCCACACUGGAACUGAGACACGGGCCAGACUCCUACGGGAGGCAGCAGUGGGGAAUAUUGCACAAUGGGCGCAAGCCUGAUGCAGCCAUGCCGCGUGUGUGAAGAAGGCCUUCGGGUUGUAAAGCACUUUCAGCGGGGAGGCGUUACCCGCAGAAGAAGCACCGGCUAACUCCGUGCCAGCAGCCGCGGUAAUAC